UUUCGCUGCAAUCUGACGGUGAUGCGCGAGCGCGACGGCUCGGCUCCCUCGGAUCGGCUUCCGCGCGUACCCCAUCUCAGGCGUCCUCAGCUUGGCUCGGCCUCCCUGCUCUGAUUCUUCGCCUCCUUCCUCUCCAAUCGAGGGCUUCCGCUCAAAUCCUCGGCGGCGGCGGCGGCGGCGGCGGAGGAGGAGAAGCCUGCCCCCUCGCGCGACUCCGUCCCCGCUCGCAACUUCUUUUGUCCACUCCGUGCCUCCCUUCGCCGACCAUCCGCGCGUGCAGGGGCGACGUCGUCGUCAUCAACGUCCGCAACCAUGGCGACAAGAACAUCACCAUCCACUAGUACUUGCACGGCGAGGAACAGCCGCGGAACCCGUGGUCGGACGGGCCGGAGUACAUCACGCAGAGCCUCAUCCAGCCCGGCGCCGCUUUCGCCUACCGCGUCAUCCUUUCCCAGGAAGAGGGCAUGCUCUGGUGGCACGCUCACAACGGCGCCACCGUCCACGGCGCCAUCGUCGGCCUCCCCGAUUGGAGAGGAAGGGGACGAAGAAGCGGAGCAGGAGGCUCGCGCUGAAUCGACGUUGGAGGAAGCCGAGCCGAGGAUGCCAGGAUGGGGUGCGCACGGAAGCCGAUCCAAGGGAGCUGAGCCGUCGCACAUCACCGUCAGAUCACAGCGGAACGGCAUCGCGGAUGGGGUCGCACGCGAGCGACGGAGCGAGGGUGAGCCCGGGGCGCACCCUAUUUUCUUCGCGAAAUAGGGGCUACCGGCCGUGUUAGGUAGCCCCUAUUUCGACCAGUGCUCUGCAUGGGUAAUUUUUUUCGAACAGCAAUUGUACCGAUUUUCGCCAGAUAUUGAGACUCUGAACUUUGUA